rnacentral:rRNA from 1 species
GAUGAACGCUGGCGGCGUGCCUAAUACAUGCAAGUCGAGCGAACAGACGAGGAGCUUGCUCCUCUGACGUUAGCGGCGGACGGGUGAGUAACACGUGGAUAACCUACCUAUAAGACUGGGAUAACUUCGGGAAACCGGAGCUAAUACCGGAUAAUAUAUUGAACCGCAUGGUUCAAUAGUGAAAGACGGUUUUGCUGUCACUUAUAGAUGGAUCCGCGCCGCAUUAGCUAGUUGGUAAGGUAACGGCUUACCAAGGCAACGAUGCGUAGCCGACCUGAGAGGGUGAUCCGCCACCCUGGAACUGAGACACGGUCCAGACUCCUACGGGAGGCAGCAGUAGGGAAUCUUCCGCAAUGGGCGAAAGCCUGACGGAGCAACGCCGCGUGAGUGAUGAAGGUCUUCGGAUCGUAAAACUCUGUUAUUAGGGAAGAACAAAUGUGUAAGUAACUAUGCACGUCUUGACGGUACCUAAUCAGAAAGCCACGGCUAACUACGUG